rnacentral:tRNA from 1 species
CGGGUACUGUGCCAGAAAAUUGGGCUUUCUUGAUGUGAAAGAAGAUAAAGGUUUUAAUCCUUUCGGUGCCA